UACGAAGGGAGCUAGCGUUGUUCGGAAUCACUGGGCGUAAAGCGCACGUAGGCGGAUGUGUCAGUCAGGGGUGAAAUCCCGGAGCUCAACUUCGGAACUGCCUUUGAUACAGCACGUCUUGAGUCCGAUAGAGGUGGGUGGAAUUCCUAGUGUAGAGGUGAAAUUCGUAGAUAUUAGGAAGAACACCAGUGGCGAAGGCGGCUGACUGGUCCGGUUCUGACGCUGAGGCGCGAAAGGCGUGGGGAGCAAACAGG
rnacentral:rRNA from 1 species